rnacentral:lncRNA from 1 species
AUAGAAAAACUUUCAUAUCCAACUAUUUAGAGUCUCAUCUUAAGCUAAUUAAGACGAUUUUUAAAUUAUAUCAACACUUCAUUCAUAACGUAUAUGAACAAAGUAAUCAUAUUACAACUACUCAAGUUUAAUAUUAUUAUCUACUCUUAUCCUUCUCACCACAUAGGUGGCAGGGAGAUCUCCGUGUGAGUGGGUUGAUCUGAGCCUGCUACCUUAUCGAAUAUGUGCAUACUAGUAUCAAUUAUUUAAUCAUAUUAGAAGGAAAAAAAAUAUAUUUUCAUUAAGAAAACGUAGGGUAUAAAAUAAUAUCCAUAUAUCAAAACCUAAGAAGAUCCAAACUUCUACCACGGGUCUGGAACAUAUUCCUAGCUAUCGGCUUGGUCAACGGAUCAGUUACCAU